CAGUAGCCGCGGGAAUACGAAGGGGGCUAGCGUUGUUCGGAAUUGCUGGGCGUAAAGCGCACGUAGGCGGACAUUUAAGUCAGGGGUGAAAUCCCGGGGCUCAACCCCGGAACUGCCUUUGAUACUGGGUGUCUUGAGUGUGGAAGAGGUCAGUGGAAUUGCGAGUGUAGAGGUGAAAUUCGUAGAUAUUCGCAGGAACACCAGUGGCGAAGGCGGCUGACUGGUCCACAACUGACGCUGAGGUGCGAAAGCGUGGGGAGCAAACAGGAUUAGAUACCCCUGUAGUCCCUGUCUCUUAUAC
rnacentral:rRNA from 1 species